UGGCGCACGGGUGAGGAACACGUAGCUGACCUGCCCUCCAGCGGGGGAUAACGUCCCGAAAGGGAUGCUAAGACCGCAUAAGCUCACGUUCUCUAGAGGGAUGUGAGAAAAAACUUCGGUUACUGGAGGAGGGGGCUGCGGCCCAUCAGGUAGUUGGGGGGGUAACGGCCCACCAAGCCAACGACGGGUCGGGGAUCUGAGAGGAUGAUCCCCCACACUGGGACUGAGACACGGCCCAGACUCCUACGGGAGGCAGCAGUGAGGGAUAUUGCACAAUGGGCGAAAGCCUGAUGCAGCGACGCCGCGUGGGUGAUGAAGGUCUUCGGAUCGUAAAGCCCUUUUCUGUGUGACGAGCAAGGACGGUAGCACAGGAAGAAGUCUCGGCUAACUACGUGCCAGCAGCCGCGGUAAAACGUAGGAGGCAAGCGUCAUCCGGAGUUACUGGGCGUAAAGCGUGUGUAGGUGGUUCUUCAAGUUCGGUGUGAAAGCCCCCGGCUUAACUGGGGGAGGACAUUGAAGACUGAAGGGCUAGAGGGUGGUAGAGGGGCGUAGAAUUCCGGGUGUAGCGGUGAAAUGUGUAGAGAUCCGGAGGAAUACCAGUGGUGCAGACGGCGCCCUGGGCCAUACCUGACACUGAGACACGAAAGCGUGGGGAGCGAACGGGAUUAGAGACCCCGGUAGUCCACGCCGUAAACGAUGCGAACUAGGUGCGCACGGUCCGCAGGGGCAGGGCGUGCCGCAGCUAACGCGCUAAGUUCGCCGCCUGGGGAGUACGGUCGCAAGGCUAAAACUCAAGGAAUUGACGGGGGCCCGCACAAGCAGCGGAGCGUGUGGUUUAAUUCG
rnacentral:rRNA from 1 species